UUUGAACUUACUGUUCUCUUUCAGCCUCUCCACAACCCCAACCCCACUCCUCCUUCUCUUCCUUUGAGUCUCAGCUUAAAUGUCAUUUUCCCAGGGAGACCUUUGUCAACCACCUGAUAUAAGUCAGUUGACUGCCCUCCCUAUUACUUUCUAGGCUAGUUUCAUACUGCACUUUCUUCCUAGUGCUUAUCACACUGCGUGAAUUUUCUUUGUUUAUUUACUUUUGUCAGUAUUCCUUGCUAGAAAGUACUCAAGACACCCCUCCAUCUGGCAGGCUGGAAAUUGAGCAGGGAGAAUGCAGGAGACUGUUUCGGGUGGCCGAGAUGAUGGUCUGGCUGCUCUUUCUACCCUGGCAUGGGCAAAGCCCAAGUCCUACAGGUUUGCUGUGGACCUGCUUUCAACUCAUCAAAUACAAAGGAGUCCUAUUGCUGGAUCAUAGUGUAUAGUGUCUUUAUUACUGCAGUGCAAGCACUUUCCAAGUGUCAUGUUUGUUAUUUACCCACUGUCCAAAGCAAGUCACGUGGCCAAGCUCAAGAGUCAGAGUGGAGAGAACUACCCAACGCAGGGAUAUAGGGAGGGGGAUGAUGGUACCCAUUUUGAAGAGAUCUACCCAAGGCAGGGAUAUAGGGAGGGGAAUGAUGGUACCCAUUUUGAAAACAAUCUAUUGCAGUAAUCAUAGACCAUAGUAAUUGCUCAGAAUCAGGAUGAUUUAGGCUAGGAAAUAAAUAAAAAUGGCCAGCCCAUGGCUUCUGCGUCCCUCUAAGAUAAAGUUCAAAGUCCUUAGCUGUGAUACAUGACUACCUGCUAUAUGUUAUCUCACUAUAAUGCCUUCUCCCCACCUCAAAACUAUAGAGAAUGGGCACACAGAGCUUUUUUAAUGGGGAAUGCACCUUGCUAUUUCACACCCUGUAUCAUUGCUCCACACCCUGUAUCAUUGCUCCUGCUGGUUCAACUGGCAUAUAAUCCCCCACCCUGAGUCCCACAGACUAACCCACCAUUGAUCUUUGAACAUCUUUAGAGACACAACAGGAUUUACCUCCUCAAAGAAGCCUACCCUCUGCUUUGGAUAGAAUUGAACAUUCAUUUCUUUGGAAGUCAUAGAGCCACAUGCAGUUUUUUUGUUUUUGUUUUUUGAGACAGGGUCUUGCUCUGUCACCCAGGCUGGAGUGCAGUGGCGUGAUCACAGCUCACUGCAGUCUCGACCUCCUAGGCUCAAGGGAUCCUCCCUCCACAGCCUCCCGAGUAGCUGGGACCACAGGCACGCACCACCAUGCCUGGCUAAAUUUUUAUUUUUAACAUCUUUCUAUGUUGCCCAGGCUGGUCUCGAACUCCUGGGCUCAAGCAAUCCUCCCGCCUCGACCUCCCAAGGUUCUAGGAUUACAGGUGUGAGCCACGGUGCUGGCCCAGAUUUUUAAUUUUACACCUAAAUAACUUUAGUGCUCAUUUGUUAAUGUGCCCGUCUCCCUUUUGGUAGACUCUAAGAUCCUCAAAGGUAGGGACUAUAUCUUUCUUAUAUUCAUAUUUUCCUUCCUUCCUUCCUUCUUUCGUAGAUGGAAUCUUGCUCUGUCAUCCAGGCUAGAGUGCAGUAGCGUGAUCUCGGGUCACUGCAACCUCCGCCUCCCGGGUUCAAGCAAUUCUCCUGCCUCGGCCUCCUGAGUAGCUGGGAUUAUAGGCGCCCACCACCAUUCCUGGUUAAUUUUUGUAGAGACGGGGUUUCACCAUGUUGGUCAGGCUGGUCUCGAACUCCGGACCUCAGGUGAUCCGCCCACCUCGACCUCCCAAAGUGCUGGGAUUACAGGCGUGAGCCACUACGCCCGGCCAGUAUUUUCAUGCAUGGAUAGUUGUUCAAAUUGAUGCUUUGGCAGAGGUGGUGGUGGGGCAGUCAUUGGAGAGUCCUAUUCCACCAUCCUGCUCCGACUUCCCCCAUUUUAUUUGCUUUGUGAAACAACAAGCUGGAAAUACUGAAAACUUCAUAGCAAACUUUGUGAGAAAGAAACCUACUACUACUUAACACUGAAAACAGAAAUAUAUAGCUUUGGGCCAGGCACAGUGGCUCACGCCUGUAAUCCUAGCAGUUUGGGAGGCUGAGGUGGAUGGAUCACCUGAGGUCAGGAGUUCAAAACCAGCCUUGGCCAAUAUGGUGAAACCCUGUCUCUACUAAAAAUACAACAAUUAGCUGGGCCGUAGUGGUAAGUGCCUGUAAUCCCAGCUACUCGGGAGGCUGAGUCAGGAGAAUCGCUUGAGCCUGGGAGGCGGAGGUUGCAGUGAGCCGAGAUCGCACCACUGCACUCUAGCCUGGGCAACAGAGUGAGACUCUGUCUCAGAAAAAAAAAAAAAAAAAUUUUGCAGCCCUAACAGAAACAAAACUCAGCUUGACAUAUUAAAUGUAGAAAUCAUUACCUAGGUAGAAAAUUUUAAACUUUGUCAAGUUUCUUUAGAAUGGACACCCAUUAAGAGUUAUAACAACAUUUAAAUUCAGAAAAUCAAUCAUCUCAAAAAAUUUUAACAGCUCAAAUAUUUUUCAUAAUUAUGUUUGUGAAAGAAAUGAAAACGAAAAGCCCAGGAAGCAGGGUGAUACUAUUGCUAGUUAUAAUUUCUAUUUUUAACACCCUAAAUUUCUUAGUUCUCAUUUCUUCUUGCAUUUCAGCUUGUGGUUGGCUUUGCAAAGCUAACAUUUUCUUUGGUGACAGUUUUUAAAACGUAAGCCAGAAGACUUUGGUCAGGAGCUUCCCCAUUCCAUAGAACAUCUGAGAACUUAAAAAAAAUGGUAUUUAAAUUGCACUAAGAAGAUAAAGUAGUGUGAUAUUUUGAUAGGUGCUUAUUUUUGUUUUGUUUGCUUUUAACUUCUGGACCUAUCCCAAUGUUUUCCAGGAUCCUCAGAACAUAUGGGUGGUCUUUUCUUUUAAAAAUAUAUAUAAACCCGGCCGAGUGUGGUGGCCCAUGCCUGUAAUCAGGCUGAGGUGGGAGGAUCACUUGAGCCCAGGAAUUUGAGACCAUUCUGGGCAGCAUAGUGGGACCCUGUCUCUACAAAAAAUAAAAAAUUAGCCCAACAUGGUGGCACAUGCCUGUGGUCCCAGCUACUUGGGAGGCUGAGGCAGGAGGAUCACUUGAGCCUGGGAGUUUGAGGCUGCACUGAGCUAUGAUCAUGCUACUGCACUCCAGCCUGAGUGACGGAGCAAGAUACUGUCUCCAAGAAAAAAAAAGUAGGGGGAGGGCGGUUUUUUUUUUAUUACAGUCUCUUUCAGCAAGAAAAUAAAAGCUUUCCCAGAAGCAUCCUAGGAGAAUUCUUCCCUUCAUUUUGUUGGCCAGUGUUGGGUAAUGUGGCCAUUAUUAGAUGCAGGGGGUCUGGGAAAGUGGAUAAGAGGAGCAUAAUAGCUAAUGUCAGAUUGUUCCCUAAAUAAAAUGGGAGUUGUAUCAAUAAACAGAAGGUUUGUGGAGGAGGUGGGGAUGAGAUGGCAGUUAGGCAGGCAAAGUACAUCACCUGCCAUGAUGCAAUAUUUGUGUAGCUAAAAACUUGUAAUGCGGUUAGAUAGAAUGAAUAUGUUCUAGUGUUCCAUAGCACAGCAGGGUGACUGUAGUUAAUGAUAUAGUGUGGAUACUUGUUCCCACACAAAUCUCAUGUGGAAUUGUAAUCCCCAAUGCUGGAAGUGGGGCCAGUGGGAGGUGAUUGGAUCAUGGGGGCAGAUCCCUCAUGAAUGGCUUAGGCCAUCCCCUUCAUGAUACGUGAGCUCUUGCUCUGAGUUCACAUGAGAUGCUUUGUUUAAAAGCAUGUGGCUGGCCGGGUGUGGUGGCUCACGCCUGUAAUCCCAGCACUUUGGGAGGCUGAGGUGGGUGGAUUGCCUGAGCUCAGGAGUUCGAGACUAGCCUGGGUAACAUGGUGAAACCCCAUCUCUACUAAAAUACAAAAAAUUAGCCGGGUAUAGUGGCAUGUGCCUGUAGUCUCAGCCGCUUGGGAGGCUGAGGCAGGAGAAUUGUUUGAACCCGGGAGACGGAGGUUGCAGUGAGCCCAAAUCGCACCACUGCACUCCAGCCUCGGUGACAGGGGGAGACUCCUUUUCCAAAGAAAGAAAAAAGCAUGUGGCAACUCUCUCCCAACUCUCUCUUGCUUGCUCCUGCUUUUGCCAUGUGACAUGCUUGUUCCCCCUUCACCGUCUGCCAUGAUUGAAAGCUCCCUGAGGUUUCACUGGAAGCCAAGCAGAUGUCAGCACCAUGCUUCCUGCAGAACCAUGAGCCAAUUAAACCUCUUUUCCUAGUCUCAGGUAUUUCUUUAUAGCAAUGCAAGGACAGCCUAAUACAGUUAACAGUAAUUUAUUUUAUACUUCAAAAUAGCUAGAAGAGAUUUGAAGUGUUCCCAAUACAAAGAAAUGACAAAUAUUUGAGGUGAUAGAUACCCUGAUUUGAUCAUUACACGUUGUAUGUAUGUAUCAAAUACCUAAAUACCCUGAUUUGAUCAUUACAUGUUGUAUGCAUGUAUCAAAUACCUAAAUACCCUGAUAUGAUCAUUACACAUUGUAUGCAUGUAUCAGAAUAUCACAUGGACCCAUCCCAUAAAUAAGUGCAAUUAUUGUGUAUCAAUAAAAAUGUUUUGGUUGGGU
rnacentral:lncRNA from 1 species